rnacentral:rRNA from 1 species
UACGAGGGGCCCAAACGUUAUUCGGAAUUACUGGGCUUAAAGAGUUCGUAGGCGGCCUGACAAGUCGGGUGUGAAAGCCCUCGGCUCAACCGAGGAAUUGCGCUCUAAACUGUCGUGCUCGAGGAAUCUAGAGGUGAGCGGAACUGAUGGUGGAGCGGUGAAAUGCGUUGAUAUCAUCAGGAACACCGGAGGCGAAGGCGGCUCACUGGGGAUUUUCUGACGCUGAGGAACGAAAGCCAGGGGAGCGAACGGG